rnacentral:rRNA from 1 species
AGUGAACGCUGGCGGUAGGCCUAACACAUGCAAGUCGAACGGCAGCACAGUAAGAGCUUGCUCUUACGGGUGGCGAGUGGCGGACGGGUGAGGAAUACAUCGGAAUCUACUUUUUCGUGGGGGAUAACGUAGGGAAACUUACGCUAAUACCGCAUACGACCUACGGGUGAAAGCAGGGGAUCUUCGGACCUUGCGCGAUUGAAUGAGCCGAUGUCGGAUUAGCUAGUUGGCGGGGUAAAGGCCCACCAAGGCGACGAUCCGUAGCUGGUCUGAGAGGAUGAUCGGCGACACUGCAACUGAGACACGGUCCAGACUCCUUCAGGAGGCAGCAGUGGGGAAUAUUAGACAAUGGGCGCAAGCCUGAUCCAGCCAGACCGCGUGGGUGAAGAAGGCCUUCGGGUUGUAAAGCCCUUUUGUUGUGAAAGAAAAGCAGCAGGUUAAUACCGCGCUGUUCUGACGGUACCCAAAGAAUAAGCCCCGGCUAACUUCGUG